rnacentral:rRNA from 1 species
AACGAACGCUGGCGGCAUGCCUAACACAUGCAAGUCGAACGAGACCUUCGGGUCUUGGGGCGCACGUGUGCUUAACACGGGGGAAGCUGCCCUUAGGUUCGGAAUAACUCCCCUAAAGGUGUGCUAAUACCGGUUAAUGUCUUCCCACCAAAGAUUUAUCGCCAUUGGAUGGGCCCGUGUUAGAUUAGCUAGUUGGUAGGGUAAAAGCCUACCAAGGAGACGAUCCAUAGCUGGUCGGAGAGGAUGAUCAGCCACAAUGGGAAUGAGACACGGACUAGUAUGGUAGGCGACGGAGGAGUGGGGUAUAUUAGGGGAUGGGGGCAAGCGCGGCACCGCAACGCGGGGGAAGUGAUGAAUGGGGUAGUGUUGUAAAGCCCCUUUAGACGGGAUGAUAAUGACAGUACCGGGAGAAUAAGCUCCGGCUAACUACGUG